ensembl:misc_RNA Metazoa_SRP Metazoan signal recognition particle RNA
GCUGGGCGCAGUGGCGGGCGCCUGUAAUCCCAGCUACUCGGGAGGCUGAGGCAGGAGAAUCGCUUGAACCCGGGAGGCGGAGGUUGCAGUGAGCUGAGAUCGCGCCACUGGCACUCCAGCUUGGGUGACAGAGUGAGACUCCGUCUCAA